GAGGUAGAGAUGUAGGUGCAAAAAUAGAGAAAGAAGGUUGAAACUCACAGAGAUGCACAUAGGAGAAGCAAAGUUCUGCUAAGGAUGCAGUGCCUGGGGUAAGUAGAACAUUCCCCUUGACCUUGAGCUAUGGCAUUCAUUUAUGUUCUCAUCUAUGCCUGUGGUGACCCUGGCUCCACCCACGCGGUCUCAUAUAUUCACUGGUUCCAGAUGUUGCUAUUCUAGCUACCUCUCCUCAGACUCUUCAGACCCUUCUGUUAUGAAGAUUCUGUCCUCAGAUUGUCUACAUUUUUAGAAAUUGAUUCUGCAACAGUUAAGGUUGGGAGGCUGGUUGUGCUGUGGACCUGAAGAGGGAAAGUAACUCCUUUGGAUCACUGAAUAAAGCAGCUUGGAAGAUGUUGCCCUCUCUUGGAAUUUAUUCUAUAAGACACUAACUUUUCCUUCUCUUCAGCCAGGAUGGGGUCAACAAGGAUAAACUUAAUUGUGAAGUGACAAUUGAGCUGAAAUAGUCAAAAUGAGAAGGACUACACAAAUAAUUGGAAGCAAUCCUCUAGGCCCUGAAUCAUUAGGAAUCACCAAUUAGUCUCAUAAAGCUGAUGAGUCAAGUGGAGAACUUGAUAUUUUCUUCCAGCAGAGGUUCCCCACACCAUCUUACAGUACCAGCAGCAUGAAUAAAAGAAAGCAGCUAAGAGGCCUCCCUAAAUGCCAACAUCCAAAGAUGGGGCUCCAGAGAGAGUUUUCUAUGGGGUACCAGAUAAAUUGACUAUUUUUUUCUUCACUAGGUGAACUAUUUUUCACACAAUGGCCAAGUUGUUUUUGUUUGGCUAUUAUCCUAACUACUCCCCAAGGGUCAAAUGGGGGGAGUAUCAUAAUCUACCAUAGAGAUUGAAUAUGACACUGACCAUUGUAUAGAAAAGUUAUAACCUACAAUGCUCUUUUGACUUUCGAUAUUAUUUCCCUAGCAUAAAAUAUUUCAAAAUUAUUCAUAUUAAGGUCUCAGUAGCAUACUGGGUAGGAAUACAUAGUUAUGAGCAUAAAAAGAAAAAUUAGUACAUGAAUUUUAAUUUCUGUUCUGCAUCACUUCAUAGUAUGUUUGAGCUUUUAAAAACUUGUUGAGGCUGCAUUAUUUGUAAUUGGUCUGAAAUGAAGCAAUGUCAAAAAGAAGGCGAAAUGGAUUUUUAAAGAGACUAAUACUGGCAAUGUCAAAAGGCAUAAUUUUUAAAGCUUUACAGCAAAUUGUUAGAGAUUUAGGUAUAAUUGAAUUAGAUUAUGGUUUAAUUCAGAGCUAAUCAUUUUUUGUUCUAGCAAAGGAGACUAU
rnacentral:lncRNA from 1 species